CACACUUUAUUAUGAUAUACUUUAUUUGAUCCCUACAUGAUUUGUCCUAAACUUGGCCUGUGUGCAACAUCUAAGACAGUAAAGAAAACUGAACCCAGGGACACCAAGCUGUACUUCAAGAAGCACAUCAUUGCUGAGAAAAAGUGUGACCAGGGACCAAAAUACUGGUGUUCCUCAAUGUCCAGAGCCAAGAUCUGUGGGAAAGAGGAUUAUUGUUUGAAGAGAAACUUGAUCAACAAUUUGGUGUGAGAACAGUGAUUUUCACAAGCCGUCCCUACCAACAUCUUAUGAAUUUGCUGUGAAAAAAAGAAACAGCCAGGAAGGAUUUUCAGCACUUGCGUCCUAUCAUGUAAUUGUUUACAGUACAAGUUUAGACUCUUAGGUGAAAAGUGCUUUUUUGGAAAGUUUUAUAUUUCAAACAAUGGAAUUAGAAAAUUGUAAAAAAAAUGAGACUUAAAUAAUUAAAAGUAAACAUUCAGUUUUUCCAGAUAAAAUAUUCAAAGAAUCAUGUGGUUUUUUUUAUACGUUUUAUGUUUGUGGUUUUUUGGCGAUUGCUACACCCUGUAGGACUCCAUGUUUGUGUUUUUCUUUAAACAUGUUCAUUAUAAAUUAUCGUUUCUAUGGUAACACAUUUACUCUGUGAUCUUGCCUACAUAGAUUUCAAUCCUUCCGUUGUAAACCAAUUUACUAUUGAAUUUUGUUAAUCUGGACAUUUCAAUUUUGGUUUAAAAUAGUUUAAAUUAACAGGUUUUCCAGGGUCAAAGAUUUGAAACCUAGUUGUGUCUGUAAAGCAGGAUAUCCAGAUAAACAGUGUUCCUUACAAUGGCCAUAAUAUUUACUUAAGAGUUGACCUUGUCGGAGUUAAAAAUUGCAUUUUACUUUAUCUAGAUCUGCAGUGGCCAUUUUACUUAAGCUAGAUCUGCAGUGGCCAUUUUACUUUAGCUAGAUCUGCAGUGGCCAUUUUACUUUAUCUAGAUCUGCAGUGGCCAUCUUACUUUUUGCUUUAUCUAGAUCUGCAGUGGCCAUUUUACUUUAUCUAGAUCUGCAGUGGCCAUUUUACUUUAUCUAGAUCUGCAGUGGCCAUUUUACUUUUUGCUUUAUCUAGAUCUGCAGUGGCCAAUCUUUUCUUUCAUUAGUGACUUUUUGCCUCGGCGUCUACAGGAUCAAAAGCAUCAAGCGUGUAUGCAAUUUUAUAGAAUAUUUCUAUUUGGAACCUUUUUAGACUUAAAAAUCAAGUCCUCGAUGAAAUCCUUGUAACAAAAUCCCAGGUUGAAUAACAGUCAAUUGUGUUCCUUAACCUGUAGAGGAUGUAUCACAUUACUGAUAUCUGUAGAGAGUGCCAGGUCAGGUGUGUAAGUGGAGUGUGACUGAACACAAGCCUUGCUGGUUAGGUCGUGAGGAAGUGGUUUAUACAAUAUAACCUUGCACAUUUUGUGAUGUAUUUUUCUACAAGUUGAAAUUAAUUACAACCAGAGUAGUUGAAUUUGGAAGAAUUUUGAUGACCUCAGAAAUGUGAAAAUAUCAAUGGGAAAUUGAUACAAAUGUUAUAUAAUUGGUCUCCAAGUUAUCUUAUACUUACAAUAAUGUAUAUAUCAAUGGAUAAUUGAUCCCUAACUAACUAAGAGUUCUAAGAGGAGAUGGGGAGUUAUCUAUCUAAGUACAUACAAGUACCAUGAUAUAGGCCAGUGACGUUACAGUACUGGUCAAUGUCAAGUGGUAGAAAAGGACAUUUUAUCUGAGGAAAAGGUAGACAAAACUUCACGCCUCUUUUUAUAUGAGCUCGCACUGUAGAGCAGUAUGUCACACUUGCUGGUACUGUAGUAUUUCUGUGGCUGUAACAUGGUACGAGUACUGUCGAGGUAUGAAGGGUGAGGUAUUACACACCCUGAUCUCGUGUGGGAUCACUAGCUUUUCAUUAAACCAUAAGACCACAAAAUUUACAUCAACAUAAUUUUUAUUUAGAAGUGUAAAAAAGAAAUGUAUAUGUUGAUGAAAUGUGAAUUGCGUGAUACGGGAUCAGAUACAUUCUAUGUUGGUUUAUCACAUCAAUGUGGUACCAGUCGCCGUAAGCCGAGAAAUCCUAGAACAUUGCUGUGAACAUAGCUACACCACCCAUGCUAUUUAACAUUCCUUUAUAAAAAUAAUAUCAACUCAGUUCUGUUUAUCUAUGUGGUAUUUUUUAAUAAAAUUAACUACAGAA